AAGCCAUGAGGUCUCACCACUGCUCCAGGGAUGGUGCAUUUACCAAAUGAGGAAGAGGGUAAUAAGGCACUGCUGCCACAGUGACAAUGAUGGCAAACUUGGUGAUCAAGUGCCCUCCCAGCAUGUUUGCAGAUAACACCAAGCUGAGUGCUGC
rnacentral:lncRNA from 12 species